AACGAACGCUGGCGGCAUGCCUAACACAUGCAAGUCGAACGAGACCUUCGGGUCUAGUGGCGCACGGGUACGUAACGCGUGGGAACCUGCCCUUAGGUUCGGAAUAACUCCCCGAAAGGGGUGCUAAUACCGGAUAAUGUCUUCGGACCAAAGAUUUAUCGCCUUUGGAUGGGCCCGCGUUGGAUUAGCUAGUUGGUAGGGUAAAAGCCUACCAAGGCGACGAUCCAUAGCUGGUCUGAGAGGAUGCUCAGCCACACUGGGACUGAGACACGGCCCAGAAUCCUACGGGAGGCAGCAGUGGGGAAUAUUGGACAAUGGGCGAAAGCCUGAUCCAGCAAUGCCGCGUGAGUGAUGAAGGCCUUAGGGUUGUAAAGCUCUUUUACCCGGGAUGAUAAUGACAGUACCGGGAGAAUAAGCUCCGGCUAACUCCGUG
rnacentral:rRNA from 1 species